rnacentral:misc_RNA from 1 species
CAGGCUAACAUUCCUCAAUUGGAUCAUGUGUAUAAUCGUGGACCUCAGCUUCAACCAACUUUGGAUGGACCACCUCAAAGAGUGCUGUCAAACUUCUUGCACUCGUUUGUUGAAAGUAGCCGCGGUGCAAUCCCUUUUUAUCCUGCUCCACUGCCAUUGUUAGGAUUAUCUGAAGGUGACAAACAAUGCAUACGUGAUCGUAGCAGCAUAAUGGCUAGGCACUUUUUUUCUGAUAAGAAUGAAGAUUUUAUUAAUGCACAGUUGAAUGCGCUAUUGUCUUCAUUAGACAUUGAUAGUGAUGCCCAUGCAAAGGGGCCUCUACCUGGGAGAUUUCGAGACUUGGAGGAUUACUGGAAUGAGUCACAAGGUAGUUUGAGACCGGGUCCUCAUCUUGCUGAUGGGUGGAUUUCAGAAUUUAGCCAGCACAGAUUAGACCAUAGUGAUCCUGAUGCUUGGGCUCAUGCAUUUGAACGGCAACAUGGUGCUAAUAGUUGUGUCUCUGAAUUUGAGCAGCAACAACAGUUGGCAUCAAUGGAUCAAAUAAGAGGUGCAAAUAUCCCAAACUUAGCAGCAAUGGAACAGACU